UCUGUUUUUUUUUCCUACUUAAGCUUCUUGUUUUUCUUUUUCUUUUCUUUUCCUUUUUUUUUUUUGAAAAAAAAAAUACAUCUUUAUUAAGACUCAUGAGCCAUACAAAGAGAUACAUUUCUGAGUUGAUAGAAAGAGCCCAAUUAGGGAGGCUAUCACUGCAUCUUGAAAUUUCUAGCCUCAUGGGCCAUUCUAUUUCCAUUUCUUUUAACAUGUACAAAAUUUAAAGAGUUACAAAAAGAAGUCGGCUCAUCUAUUUUCUUUUUUAAACAUUCAACCUCACAAUAGGAUAAGGCUUUACAAUUUAGAAGAUUAAUUCUUGUUAGACAAUCAGAUUCUAAAAUAAUAUCAAAGAAACCCCAUCUUUCUGCCACUUUCACUCCUUCCAGAAUCGCCAACAUCUCUGAUAAUGGAGGCUCGGAGUUGUUUUGCAUGUUUAGCAUUUCAAGCCUGAUAAAAUUUCCAGUUGAUUCCCUUGCAACGAUGUCUAUUCCCAGGUUUGAAGCUUCUUUUCUCCAGGCAACAUCCACAUUAAUCUUCACAAAACCAGCUGGAGGGCGAAUCCACUUAACUUGAUUAGAUUCUUUCCAACCACCCAUUGGGAGAAUGAAAUCAGCAACAUAAAGGUUCAAUGUUAAAGGGUUAAAGCAAGUAGGCUUGAAUGAUGAAGGCUUUGGAAUCCAAGGGUCUGAAAAGAAACAUAUUGAAUUACCAUUCCCAACUCUGUAUCGAAGAUCUUUAGAUAGAAGUUCUAUUCCCCAUAUAAAACUUUUCCAAAUGAAAGAUGAACCUGAUUUGAUGGAUGCUUCAAGAAUCGAACACUCAUUAAAAUAUAAGCUUUUAAGGAUGGUAGAUACAAAAGAAUUUGGAUUGUAUCAUUCUCCAAAAGAAUUUGGAUUUUCUACCAUUUUCCACACCUUUUGGCUAUUAAUGCUUGGUUAAAAUCAAAUAAAGCACAAAAAUUAAGGCCACCCAAUGAUUUUGGUAGGCCUAACUUCUUCCAUUCCAUCCUCAUUUUAUUAAAAGUUGAUCCCCACCAAAAAUUAGUUAAGGCUUUUGUAAUCUCUUCACAAAAAGACUUAGGAAGUUUGAAUAAGCUCAUGACAUAAGUAGGAAUAGAUUAGACAAUGCUUUUAAUUAAAAUUUCUUUACUAGCUUUCGAGAAAAAUGCCAUUUUCCAGUUUUGAAUAGUCGUCCAUAUUCUUUCUUGGACGAAUUUGAAUUCAGCUGAUUUAAACCUUGAUAAAUAUGAUGGAAGACCCAAGUAAUUUACAAUGUUGUUUUACAUGGGAAAUACCUAAAAGAUUGCUUAAAAAAUGUUCACGAUCAGAACUCACAUUAGAUGAAAAAAAUCAUACAGAACUUGUCAAAAUUUAUAUAUUCACCGAAAGCUGCCUCAAAUAGAAGUAAAAUAUUUUUAAGGUUAAUUAAUUCAGUUUCAGAUGCUUUACAAAAAAAAAAAUUAAACUAUCAUGAGCAUAUAAUAAAUGAGAAAUAUUAGGGCAAGAUAUAUUGAGAUGAAUUCCAAAAAUCAGAUUAUUCUGAUUUGCAUUUUGAAAUAUAGAUGAUAAUCCUUCGACAAAAAAAAAAAAAAAAAAAAAAAAAAAAAAAGAAUAGAUAAGGGGAUAGUGGAUCUUCGUGGCGAACCUCUAGAUGGAAUAAUAUUACCUUUAGCGUAACCAUUGAUUAUAAUUGAGAAACUUGCAGAAGAAAUACAUUUUAAGACUAAGGAUACCUAAGAUGAAUCAAAGCCUAAUUUAAGUAAAAUGUCUUUAGGAAUUUCCAUUCAACACGAUCAUAUGCUUUACUUAAAUCAAGUUUUACAGGUGUUGCUUUUUCUUUGUUUCCUUUCCGAGAUUUGAGGAAAUGUAAGUACUCAUGACCUAUAAUAAUGUUAUCGUGAAUUGAGCGCAGAAAUGAAAGCAGCUUGUGAAAUAGAGAUCAACUGCUCUAAAAAAGGUUUAAGCCUGUUAGCUAUAGACUUAGAGAUAAUUUUAUAAGAAAGAUUACAUAAAUUAAUAGGCCUAUAAUCUCCAACUAAAGAAGGAUUAGGAGUUUUUAGGUAUUAAGACAAUAUUAGUAGAAUUUAUAGAAUGAAAAUCUUUCCUUUCAUUUAAAACUUCAAGAUAUUUAGGUAUGGUAUUUUUACUUACAAUACUCUGAUAUUUUUUUAAAGAAAAUGGCAGAAAAUCCAUCUAAAGGUUUUCGAUAAAAAAAAAUGGGAGAGAUCUUUUUUUUUUUUGGUUAUUUUUUUGGUGAUCAACAUAGAUUUUAGAUGAAUGGUAGAGAUGCUUUGUUAUUAUUUUUUGAGUGAUGACUUUUUAAACAUAUUUGGAGACUAACAAGUUACAUUUUGAAAACUUAGGAACCAAUGCACCACCUAUUCUUAAAAGUUGGGAGGAAAAAAGGUACAUUUUAAAAGCUUAAAGACCAAAUAUACCUACUCUUCAAAACUUGAAGACAGAAAAGAUAGUUUUUUUUUUUCAUUUUUUUAAAUAUAAACCUAAGCUAUAUUUUCUAAUCAAAUUAAGAAUUGAACCAAUGGAUAUAACUCAACAAAUUGUAGCAUCAAAGUAAAUUAAUGUUAAUGGUAAUUGUCAUACAUUCCCUUCAUUAAGAUAAGACAUCCGCUCUUUGUCAUUAGACCUCCUACCUCAAACUAUAAACCUUAUCUUGUAUAUUUGGAGUAUAGCACAUUGAAAGAUUAAGCAACAAACCUUUAAACUCGUCAAAUUGUAUCAAUUUUCACAUAAACAAUUACUUUCAUCAAAUUACACCUCAAACUUACAUACGUGUUGCAGUCUUAACAACAAAUUCCUAUAAGAAGUAUUACAAACUUAACCUUAUAAAAAUUCUUGUUUUAAAUAUCAUUAAAAAAAAGUUUUCCGGUAGUGGUGGCCAUGGUGACCGACGGUGAAGGUGGAGACUAAUAGCGACAGUGGUUGGAGUUGACCAAUAGAGGGUAGUGGUAGCCAUGACAAUAUAUAUAGUAUAAGUGAGAUAGAUAAUUUUGGGUCGUUUUGGUAAUUUUAUGAAUUACACAAAUUAAGGAGAGAUUAGCAAUUAAACACUUAAAAACAUUUUUCUAAAAAAUGAUUUUAAGUGUUUAUUCUAACUUAUUUUAUAAACUCAGUUUUUUCAAAAUUUAUUUUGAAUGGUUGUCGAAUAUUUGAUUUUUUUUCUAAAAUAACUUAUUUAUUUAAUUAAACACUUGAAAAACUAUUUUAAAGAGAUCAAGGACCUUGGCUAGAAAUUCCAAUUCUCACAAUUGCACAUGUUUCUUUAUUUAUUAUUUUGAGAAAUUGUGUUAGAUGGUCAAAAGAAAAUAUCCAAUUAGAAAGAUGACCACUUUUUGAAUUGUAUGAUUUCCAUCAAAUCGAAAGUAUAUUUUCCCACAAUAUUAGCAAAAUUCAUUGCGUUUUUAAACUUGUUUAGGUGAGAUUUUGUUGGGAUUUGGAUUUUAAUUAUUAGAUAUGAUUUAAAUUUAUUUAAAAUUAUCAUGUUGUUUUCUUAAUUUUUUUAGAAAGGAUUCGUCCCGUUGCUGAAAGCUAUGUUGUCUAGGUGUGCAAUCAACAAAAGGUUUCUUCCCUUUUCUUCUUCCUUUUGGAUGACUCAUUUACUGCAAGGAUUGCAGACUUUGGUCUGGCAAAACUUUUGAAAAAAGAUCAAACUCGAACUUUGACAACAAUUAGAGGAACCAAAGGAUAUGUAGUUCCAGAGUGGUUUAGAAGCGUCCCCAUCACAGUGAAGGUGGAUAUUUAUAGUUUUGGGAUAUUGUUGCUAGAGAUUAUAUGCUGUAGAAGAAAUUUUGAGGAGAAAGCAAAGGAUGAAGAACAAAUGGUAUUGGCAGAUUUGGGUUUAUGGCUACUUCAACGAUGGGAAAAUGGAGCUAUUGAUAGAAAAUGAUGACGAAGCAAAGAUGGAUCGAAGAGGGUGAAGAAAUUUGUGAUGAUAGGAAUUUGGUGCAUUCAAGAGGAACCAUCCUUAAGGCCCACCAUGAAAAAAGUUCUACAGAUGAUGGAAAGUGCUAUUGAAGUCUCUUUUCCCCUUCACCCAUCUUUCUACAUUAGUUCAAUUUCCUAAUACUUUCUUUUCUAUGGUUUACGUUAUAUUAUUUUCUUGAUCAAACUUUCUUUUUUCAAUAAUUGCUAGAUAUGAAAGAUCAAAACUAUGAAUCUGUAGAGAGGUAAGUUAUGUCUCCUCUAUGUAUACUGGAAUAAAAGAAUACACUAUUUUACUAUUAAAA